AACAAACAGCGGAAGGACAACUCUUGCAAGCGCAUAACUGUUUGACGGAAGUCCUGAAAGAAGAGAAAUGGGUGGUGUUCUAGUUGUUUAGUUAUGGCCAUCUACUUAAAUUAAUUCAGGUUCCCAUAAGGAGAGAAAGAUUGAUGUCUCUGUGCCACAUUCUUGUUUUAAUCAAGAUUGUUGAGGACAUAUUCAGAAAGAAGGAACUAGAUAUCAUCCAAAGUUUUCCACAUAUUAUCAAUCUUAUCCAGAAUGAGAUAGAGCAGUCACUCCUACAAGUAAAGAUCAGCAAAGAAACUACAAAUGCCUUGAGUACAAGUGAGUAGGUAUGAUGUGGCUAUGAAGCUUCCAUUUGCGGAUGAGGAGUUAUGGCUUUUGGAACAGAUAUGGUUUACCAUCACUGGUAUUGGAAAUGUGUUAGGGAUGGUGAGGGCCCUGCAAGCAGGGUGUGCGCGCCAUGCCUACAAUAAAUCUCGUACUCGAAGUUAUGAAAAAGAUAUUCAAAAGCUUGGCUCAAUGGAUGAAAUGGUUACAGCCGCCAAAACAGUGGACACAGCAAUAGAAUUCUCACACCAUGUUGAAGCGCGUGUGAAUGUUUUUUCUUCUCUUCUUACUACAAUUCCAAAGGGUACAGAACAAGAAAAGGCACUAGAUGGGCUUCACUGGUUUGCCAACAUGAGUGAGCAGUGAACACUUAGAUCAGCAAUUGCUCUGUCUCCGGAGGAAAUUAAAGUUACAGAGUAACAUAUGGGUAGCAGUGGUCUUGCCGAUUAAAGAUUUGGGGCCAAACAGGUUCACCAUUUUCAACAGAAACAGAAACAGAAAAAGGUAGACUGAUAAAAUCAAAAAUUAUCAAAAUGGAGUUGGAGCUUGUUCACUCUAGUCUUGAUUCUGCGCGGACAAUCAUCACUUGUAACCAGGGGAUUACUUUGAAGUAGUACAGUUAACUUUUCAUGUUGCCUGAUUGUAUCCUCACUUACCAUUACCCUUGGCCCUAAUACAUUUAGCUUGAGAAACGAAACAUAGUGCUGUUACUGUUUUGGAUUUUUUUUUCAGGAAGCAACAAAAUUGAGAACAAUGAAUCAGUCUUUUGAGUUUUGGCA